AGCGAACGCUGGCAGCAGGCUUAACACAUGCAAGUCGAGCGGGCAUCCUUGUGGUGUCAGCGGCAGACGGGUGAGUAACGCGUGGGAACGUGCCCUUCGGUUCGGAAUAACUCAGGGAAACUUGAGCUAAUACCGGAUACGUGCGAGAGCAGAAAGGUUUAUCUGCCGAAGGAUCGGCCCGCGUCUGAUUAGCUAGUUGGUGAGGUUAUGGCUCACCAAGGCGACGAUCAGUAGCUGGUCUGAGAGGAUGAUCAGCCACACUGGGACUGAGACACGGCCCAGACUCCUACGGGAGGCAGCAGUGGGGAAUAUUGGACAAUGGGGGCAACCCUGAGCCAGCCAUGCCGCGUGAGUGAUGACGGCCUUAGGGUGGUAAAGCUCUUUUCUCCGGGACGAUAAGGACGGUACCGGAGGAAGAAGCCCCGGCUAACUGCGU
rnacentral:rRNA from 1 species